GACAAGACUUUCGAGGAAGAUUUAAAGACGACAAACCAGGCACAUAGAGUUCUGGAUAAAGUUCCAGAUAAAAGUCUGAGAGGAGUUCUGAUUGAGUCAGAGGUAAUGCCAGAUGAUGAUGUUGAUCGAUUCUAUUGCGCCCAGUCACAAAGCCGUGGACUGAUCCAGACACCAACACCACCAUCAGGUACAAUCCAAUUUUUCGUCCCAUUCCCAUCGAUCUUAUUCAGAAUUAAUUUCCUUCUUCCGAUUCUGGCUGCGUUGAACCGGAAUGCAAAACACUCGAGGAAAAUCUUUCGUAAUUGUUUGGAAAACAGUGAAAAACGGAGGAGAAAAUAAUAAUGGGUAAUUAAUUGACAAAUUAUUUUGAUUCAUUUAUUUAUUUAUCUUUUGUUCUCAUAAAUCUAGAUUUUUUGCCAUGGGUCAUCUUUAUUUUGUGAGCUGCACCCCAUUUGAGCUGGGACUUCUAGGGAAACCAUGGAAAACCUGAGUCGUGCAGAAAUUUGAAUACUAUCGUCGGUACAGGAAUUCCUCGUAUUUUUAAAUUCUUCAAAAAAAUCAUUUGCAGUUACGAAUUGCUAAAUCCGUUGAAUUUCGUGGUAUUUGUUUAAAUUUUACUGCUAAAAUACUCGGACUUGUAAAUUUAAAAAAAAUAUUGUGAAUUUCGGUUGUUGAUUUCUCAGUAAUUGAAUCCGUAGUAGUAUGAUGCGAGGGCAUCGGCGCGAUCCUGCAAAUAAAAUAAUCCGAUUAUUCUCAGGUCCGAUGAAAAAUCAAAUUAACGGUGA